GAUGAACGCUGGCGGCGUGCCUAAUACAUGCAAGUCGAGCGAACAGACGAGGAGCUUGCUCCUCUGACGUUAGCGGCGGACGGGUGAGUAACACGUGGAUAACCUACCUAUAAGACUGGGAUAACUUCGGGAAACCGGAGCUAAUACCGGAUAAUAUAUUGAACCGCAUGGUUCAAUAGUGAAAGACGGUUUUGCUGUCACUUAUAGAUGGAUCCGCGCCGCAUUAGCUAGUUGGUAAGGUAACGGCUUACCAAGGCAACGAUGCGUAGCCGACCUGAGAGGGUGAUCGGCCACACUGGAACUGAGACACGGUCCAGACUCCUACGGGAGGCAGCAGUAGGGAAUCUUCCGCAAUGGGCGAAAGCUUGGCGGAGCAACGCCGCGUGAGUGAUGAAGGUCUUCGGAUCGUAAAACUCUGUUAUUAGGGAAGAACAAAUGUGUAAGUAACUAUGCACGUCUUGACGGUACCUAAUCAGAAAGCCACGGCUAACUACGU
rnacentral:rRNA from 1 species